UACGUAGGGGGCAAGCGUUGUCCGGAAUCAUUGGGCGUAAAGAGCGUGUAGGCGGCCAGAAAAGUCCGCUGUGAAAACUCGAGGCUCAACUUCGAGCUGUCGGUGGAAACUUUCUGGCUAGAGUCCGGAAGAGGAGAAUGGAAUUCCUGGUGUAGCGGUGAAAUGCGCAGAUAUCAGGAGGAACACCGGUGGCGAAGGCGGGUCUCUGGGCCGAUACUGACGCUGAGGAGCGAAAGCGUGGGGAGCGAACAGG
rnacentral:rRNA from 1 species